UUCCCUAGUAACGGCGAGUGAACGGGGAUUUGAGCUCAUCGCUGAAGCCUCCGUCCGUGAAGGGCGGCAGGCAAUGUAGCGUUUAGGGAGAGCCAUUCCUUAUCGGUUUGACAGUGCCCAAGUCCCCCUGACUGGGGCCAUUGCCCGCGGAGGGUGCUAGGCCCGUACGGCAUUGGUCAUCCGAAGGACGGCUCUUUCCCUCGAGUCGGGUUGCUUGGGAGUGCAGCCCUAAGACGAUGGUAAACUUCAUCCAAAGCUAAACACGGCCACGAGACCGAUAGCGAACAAGUACCAUGAGGGAAAGUUGCAAAGAACUUUGAAGAGAGAGUUCAAGAGUACGUGAAACCGCUCGGAGGCAAACGAAUGGGUACUCGAAGUUUGAACGGGGAGAUUCAACCGGUUUCGCCUCGCACGCUUAUACUCGAUUACCCGAUGAGGGUUAACGGAUUUCUUAAAGAACCGGAUCGAGGUGAACGGUGGGCAGGCACCGGCGCACUUCUCCCCUAGUAAGACGCCGCGACCGGUUAGUCGGUGGCCAUAAAGUUGCGAAUUAACGGGGCAGGUAUCCAGCUUGCGCUCGCGGCAUCUUUACGGGUGUUCGCGGCCUUGUCGGAGUUACAGCCUCUCGGUUAACUUGGCACCACCCGACUGACCGAGGUUGAACGUGACAUCCCAGCCGGAGUAAUUGGCCUGACAGGCGGCAGGCCGGUCGUAGACUAUGGUACGUUCUUUUGAACGGCCCACGGUCGACACGAUCGGUUGUUGGUCGCGGGUUUGAACGCUCCGUUAGCUGAUGGAGGUCUGCGGCGAUAAUGUCGGUCACCCAUCCGACCCGUCUUGAAACACGGACCAAGGAGUCUAACAUGUGCGCAAGUCAAUGGGGAUCUGUCGAGACCCACAGGCGUAAUGAAAGUGAAGGCAAACCUCGAUGUUUGCAGAGGCAAGAUGAGUUUUGCGGAGAACCGGUAGCGCGGUCUCCCGGCUAAGCAUUGUCGGCCCGUCGCGAUCGCUUUACUGUCGAUGCGGCGGAGCAUGAGCGGACACGUUGGGACCCGAAAGAUGGUGAUCUAUGCUUGAGCAGGAUGAAGCCAGAGGAAACUCUGGUGGAGGUCCGUAGCGAUUCUGACGUGCAAAUCGAUCGUCGGACUUGAGUAUAGGGGCGAAAGACUAAUCGAACCGUCUAGUAGCUGGUUCCUUCCGAAGUUUCCCUCAGGAUAGCUGGUGCUCGGAAUAAGGAACGCAGUUUCAUCCGGUAAAGCGAAUGAUUAGAGGCCUUGGGGCCGAAACGACCUCAACCUAUUCUCAAACUUUAAAUGGGUGAGAAGCCCGGCUUGCCUAAGCGAAGCCGUUGGGCGUGAACGAAUGCGAGUGCCAAGUGGGCCACUUUUGGUAAGCAGAACUGGCGCUGUGGGAUGAACCAAACGCCGGGUUAAGGCGCCUAAUGCAGACGCUCAUCAGAUCCCAUGAAAGGUGUUGGUUGCUAUAGAC
rnacentral:rRNA from 1 species